GGGUUUGUAGCUCAAUGGUAGAGCACUUGUCUUACAUGCGUGAGGCACUGAGUUCAAUCCUCAGCACCA
rnacentral:tRNA from 1 species